rnacentral:sRNA from 1 species
CUCCCAGGCUCAAGUGAUCCUCUCAUGUCUGCCUACCAAGUAGCUGGGACCACAGGCAUGCGCCACCACAUCCAGCUAAUUUUUUGAUUUUUUUUUUGUAGAGACAAAAAAAAGUGUUGUCCAGGCUGGUCUCGAACUCCUGGGCUCAAGCAGUCCUCUUGCCCCGGCCUGCCAAGUAGCUGGAACUAUAGGCGUGUGCCCCACACCCGGCAGGCAUGGGGUUUCAGGCAGCAGAGGGUGGCAGGAUCGGCUGCUCUGAUCCAAGAGGCUCCCGGCUCUCCCCCAGCUGGGGUCUUAGGGGGCUGUAGUGCAUGUCCACUCUACAAAUGGCAGGGGGGGUGGAGGUGGCUGUGCCUACGCUGAGCUCCUUUGUAGCCUCUCCUUUCUCCCUCUCCAGGGAAGAGGACCCAGAUGAUGUGCCCCAUGGACAUAUCACCUCAUUGGCUGUGAAGCGUUCCCACCGGCGCCUUGGUCUGGCUCAGAAACUGAUGGACCAGGCCUCUCGAGCCAUGAUAGAGAACUUCAAUGCCAAAUACGUCUCCCUGCAUGUCAGGAAGAGGUGGAAGCCGGGCUGAGGGAAGGGGGAUUGAGGGGGAGAGAUACUGCCUUGACGGGGGUCCUGGGGUACCUCAGCUUUUGGUGAAGAUCCAGGAAGUGGGACUGGGGGGAAGGAGGGACCAGGAGGAGGGGCAAGACCUGGACGUGCUACCCCUCCCUGGCCAAAUCCGUGCAGCUCAGCAGUGCCUUGUUCCCCUGCAGUAACCGGGCCGCCCUGCACCUCUAUUCCAACACCCUCAACUUUCAGUAA